UGAAUUUUCUCUUCCAGAAAUAUAAGGUGGAAUAAGCUGCAAGAUGUCAUUCCUCCUGAUAUUGGUGAACUAAAGCAGCUAACACAUUUCUACCUGAGUUUUAAUAAUAUUAAAGGCGAAAUCCCCAAGGAGCUUGCUAAUCUCCCAGAGCUGCGUUAUCUCCAUCUGCAUGAAAAUCAUUUUGCUGGACGAAUUCCACCUGAGUUGGGCACUUUGCAGUAUCUUCGGCACCUCUAACUUGAUCGAAGAUGUGCUAAUAAAGGGACUUCUCAUCUUGCCACUUAGACUUGCAGUUACUUAAAUAAUAAUUAUCUUACUGGUGGCAUUCCAGCACAGCUUGCAAAUUUGACGAACUUGAAGAUCUUAUACCUAUCCUACAACAAGAUGGCUGGAGUUAUACCGGCUAGCAUUGCUCAUAUUCCAAAGUAAACUUGUUAGUCUUCCUCUCUAUAGUUUUAUCUACUCUCUUAACUCUUUUGCUUAUGACAUUACAACAGUUCCUUUCAUGAAUGCCAUCAAGGGUCUUUCUUAAAUUCUUUCUUAAGGAUAUGAAGAUUUUUUUUAGCUUAAGAACACUUCGGCAUACUUGUUGUUAGAUGCACAUGGAGCUAGCUCGUCCGACCUUAUUGUACUUUAUUCCUUACCAUUUAUUGAUGUGUAACAACUAGCAGAAAAGGGUUUAGCAUAAGAAUGUUCACAUCCUAGUAGGUUUAAAUUUAUGCAGAAUAACACAAACCAUUGGUUGUUGGACUUCUUAUCGACUAAAGAUUUUCUUGAUCUAUGUAGCAACAACAUAGGACUAAUACAGAAGACUCAUUUGCCACAUGGUACAUUUUGUACCUCUACUUCAAUUAUUGUCAACUUUAUGGGUUGCCUAUAUGUGAUGACUCAAAAUGUCAUCUUUAAAUUUAAUAAGUAAUUCUAUGCUCUAA